rnacentral:snRNA from 1 species
GUACUUGGCUGGUGCCGGUGCCUCGUGGAUCACCGAGUACGAGCCCCAAGGGCGAGGAUUGGCCAUUUCACUGCGCUCGCGUUGACCCCUGCCACUACCUCAAACUGGGGCAGAUGGGGCAUGCAAAUUGCUGAAAUCCGGU